ACACUCAAACCUCCUCAGGGUACCGGUUAUCUCUUGCUUUCCCUGUGAAGGUGUCUUGCUCCAUGAUUUGCCUUGCUCAGUGUGAUUGGAUGGAAGUUAAGUCUGAGAAGAGAGGGGAACACCAUUGAGUGACUCUAUGUAAUUGUUGCCAUUGGCUGUAACCUCCCAGAUAGGGCCUGCUUGUUCAGCCUGCUUCUCAGAACCAAAAGGGUGUGCAGAUGAGAAACUACUGAGUAGCAAUGGAUAGUAAUAUGAACAAAGCAUGUCAAGAGGAGCUGGGGAGAAGGUGAAGGCUUGCCAUGGUCAAGCUGGCCCAAGCCAUUCCAGGGACUAUCUUUGGUUUCUAUUGCUGUGAUAAAAUACUAUGACCAAAGGCAAGGUGGAGAAGGAAGGGUUUAUUUCAACUUACAACUCUUGGCUGACUCCAUCACUGAGAGGAUUUGAGGCAUAAACUCAAGGAACGAACCUGGAGGUAGCAACUGAAGGCAUGGGCUGGAGAAGACUGCUCUUACUGGUUUGUUCCUCAUGGUUUGUCCAGGCUGCUUUCUCAUACAACUCAGGACCACCCGCAGUGGGCCAGAGGUGCACCACCCAUCUGUAACUCCAGCUUCAGGGGGUAAUCUGAUACUUCUUUUUGGCUCCAAGAACAGCAGGCAUAUACACAUAAAUGCAGGCAAAACAUUCAUACGUGUAAAAUAAUUAAAUCAUAUAUAUAUAUAUAUAUAUUUUAAAGUGCUCAGUGGGUGAAGUGCUUGUUGCACAAGCAUGAACACUUGAGUUUGGUUUCUCAAGCUGGGUGUGGCAGCACGUGUCUGUAACUCCAGUGCUUGGGGGUUGGGGGCAGGCAGAGCCCGUGGGCCAGCAUGUUUAGCCAGGCUGGGGAGAUGAAUCAGUGGGCACAAGAGCUUUCACACAAUCCUGAUGACUUGAGUUAGGAGCUCUAGAAUCCAUCCAGAAAGGCUGGAUGUAAUAGUACAAGCAUCCAUGCUAUCUAUGUGCAGGCACAGUAGUGGGCUGGUGAUGACGGUUUGGUGAUGGAGUAGGUACCGCUGUUGGUGUUGGUUACUAUUUGUGUGUUCCACAUCUCCCCUGCUCUCUCACAUACAUCUCAGAUCACUUUGUUUUGACCCCCACAUCUAUAGUGGCCUCCAAAUGACUACAGGAUACAGCACACCCACCUUCCUUCCUGGACUCCUUUUGAGGUUGCUUCUGUUUUCAUUCAGUGACUGCUCCCUUACUUCGCUGAAUACAUUCUGGUGUCAACAGGAGGAGGAGCCUUCCGUUGAACAAGUCCCCACUCAGUGGUCUCACUUCUUGUCUUCAAUCAAAUGCUUCCUCUUUCACCACCCUCACAGCUAACUUCUUUGUCUGCUUUCCCACAGGAGGACGGCUUUGUGUCUCUAGCGUUUUUUUCAUGGAGCAUUUUGCAGUUAGUGGCACAAAACUGUACACUCAGUACAGUGUUAGGGACUUUUGGGCCCUCAGAAGGGCUGUGUUAAGCUCACCAAAUACAUGGCCUCUAAAUUUUGCAGAAAUAAGCAUCCCACUGUGCGUGUGUGUGCAUGCAUAUGUUUUGAGACAGGGUCUCAAGUAGCCCGGGAGAUCUUGAAUCCACUGGAUAGCUGAAGAUGACCUCAAACUCUAAAUCCUCUAAAGGUCAUCUCCCAAGUGCUGAGAUUACAGGCAUGCACCACCACACCUGGCUUCCUAAUUUAUGCAUGGUUCUUCCUAUAAUUUGGAUCUUGAGAUGAUCCUCAAGGGCCUAUGUGAUGAAGGCUGGUUCCUCAGGAGGCACUGUUGAGAGGUGGUGGGACCUUUAAGAGCUGGGGCCAAGUGGAAGGUGUACUGUGGGACCCCUACCCCUUCCUCUUCCUCUUUUGCUUCCUGGCCACGUCUUCCGGUGCUUUGCUUGGCUUCGCUUCUCCACUCUGUACUGCCUGACCCCAGAUCCAAAGCAGGGUCAGUCGGCUACACACUGGAACUGCUAAGACAAAAGAAACCGUGUCUAUUUCCAUCCCACAGGUGUUUCUUCUAGAGACAAUGCUGCCUCACUUAGCCGCCACUUAGUUACUGGGCAGCCUUCCCUCAUUACCUCCAUUGUCAAUCAACAGUAUUUCCUUCCUACCCUGAACUGGGCCCAGGGAGGGAAAUGAUGUUUGGCUUCUUCAAACCAUGAUGAGGUUCAUCAUGCUCAGGCCCUGUCAAUUAAAGCGUCAAGCCCGUGGGGGAAGGGAAGCCCGUGGGGGAAGGGAAGCCCGGGAGCUGCUUGGCUUUAGCAUGACCUGAGAGGAGGCCAGUGAAGAUUCAGUAGGCUUUUCUCUCUUCUUUCUUGUGAACUAAUGAGCUUAUGAGGCCCACUUACAGGAGCAUUAGCUAGAGACUUCUUACUCAAGCAUUGGGACUUAAUUCAGCCCCAUCCUACCCUGGGUCACUACAAAAGCUACAUCUAAAAAGAGCCCUUCCCUAUUCAGAGGUGAUGGAGGCCUCCAGGUACCAGCUGGAGUUGAUCUGUUAUGUAAACCAGGCAUUGGCUCCCCAACCUGUCUGUCCGCUGAUCUGCCCUGACUGCCGGUCUCACUACUAGGUUUUAAAUUUCUUGUGACCAGGAGGAUACAGCUCAUUUGAACUAACUGCCCUCAUCUAUUUAUCCAGUCCCUUGGGGGUAAGGCAAAAAUGUGGGGCAAACCCUAUCCAAUUGUUUCCCUCCCUCCCCUCCUACAGGAAAAGGCUACCCCUGUAAUCAUAAGCCUGCUUCAGUGCCCAAUACCCUUGGGCUCCUCCUCCAUUAGCCCCACUGUGCUGGUCCCACCCCUUCCCUGUGGGUCAUGAAAGGGUGUGACCUCCUUCAGUUCUGCCGCCACAACGCACGCACCCGCUGCUCUCUUCCACCCUCAGCGGAUCUGUCUGGGAGGCAGCUCAGCCUAUGCUCCCUCUAUAAUGGCUAACGCAUUCGCAUAAGGUUCAGAGACAAAAAACUAGGCUGAUCUCCGUGGCUGCAGUUCUGAUGAUGUUUGUUCCGCAAGUUGUGAUAUAAUGCGGUUUUAUCUGGCCUUUGGUUUUGUUUCACCUCAUUCUGUUAACACCCAAUAGAAAACCUCGUGUGUUUGUGUCUGAGGGAUGGACCCCGACCUCGCCCAAUUUCCCACAUUCCUGAAUGAUUCUUUGCAUCCUUUCCUCUCAGACUUUAACAAAUCACUGCUUCUGGUGUGCGUGAAAGGUUAAGAGGGCAGGAGAAAAGGUAGGAUUUGAAGAGCCGAUCAAAAGCAAAGCUUAAUCUUUUGGAAAGCAUUUUUCAAAAUGGGGUUAAAAUUGACAUGGAUCGCAUUAAGGGCGAAGCAACUGAGAACCCAGGAAACCGCAUGUCGAGAAGCACGUAAAACAAAAAUAAAAACGAUGCAUCCUCC
rnacentral:lncRNA from 1 species